rnacentral:tRNA from 1 species
GCAGGUGUGGCGAAAUUGGCAGACGCGCUAGACUUAGGAUCUAGUCCCUUACGGGGUGGGGGUUCAAGUCCCUUCACCUGCACCA